GUGGGGUUGGGGGGGGGUGACCACCUGAGAUUCCACAUUUAGUCCUCACUUAUGGAAAACACCACAUUACACUCCAAAGGCAAUGGAAGGAGAAAAGGAAGAAAACAUCUUGAAACAUGGUUGAGUCAUUUGUUAUGAGUUUCAUUUCCACAAGAGUAUAUAAAUAGGCGUUUGGAAAGAAAUUAGGACAAAUGAGUGAGGGUUAGCUUUUACUAUUUAGGUCGGACGAAGCAUGGGGCAAAGAGUGGAAAUCAUAGCCGCCAGGCUGCUUGUGUACUUAAGGGUGGCCGGGAAGCAAGGAGGGGUUGAACCUUCACGCCCAAGACACGAGAAUUGAAAGUAGGGCGGGGGAUGGAGCAGCCACGGAGAGGAUUAAGGGAGAGGUCAGAGGUCAUCCAGACCAUCCAGCUAGAGGAGCAGGAGGCCGGAGGGCUGUCCCCUCCACACUAGGCCUGACGUCAGCCUGCAGGCCGGGGCGAUGAGGCUACAGGACAAGUCAAGCCUCGGGAUGGGCGCUGCGUUUUAAACGUACAUUCAAGUAAAGGCUUUGUGAGGUUGUGCUGUCGAUGGCACGGCCAUCGACAGCACAACCUCCAUGACGGAUGAGGGGUUCAGUUCUGCCUGACCGGUAGGAGAACAAACAUCCAUUAUAUGGUCCUGGAGAUGUUUCAGAUCAAGUAUGUGCCCAUUGUCGCUCCGUUUCCCUCGAAAUCUUACCAAUGGGCUUUGAAUAUAAAUGUUUAUACAUUUGUUUGAUUCAGCCAUAAGUAUACUUCAUAAACUUCUCUACGUCAGAGAGCACGUCCCACAAUGCACACAGAAGAUAGCCGACAGACUUAUCUGGGUGUCUACAGUACGCGUGUGUGUGUGUGUGUGUGUGUGUGUGAGUGUGUGAGUAUGUGUGUGUGAGUGCGUGCGUGCGUGCGUGCGUGCGUGCGUGCGUGCGUGCGUGCGUGCGUGCGUGCGUGCGUGCGUGCGUGCGCUAUCUUAUCUCCCCACACUCAUGGCACCAGAGCACCAUUAGAUUAUUCCGGGCUGUGACGGCCAACAGCCGCCCUGAAUCCUCGUCCACUCGCCCUGAUUGCGCGCUCAGCCCCGAGCCGGCCAGGGAUCGCUGCAACUCAUUACCGCGCGUGGAGCUGGGGUGACACACGGGGCGACACACACGCCGUCACAGUGACGUGGACGCCACGCGCGGGAAUUAAGAGAGGGGCGUUGAAAUGUCAGAGGGGGGGUUUAAUGAAACAGAGGAGGAGGCCGAGGGGAGGGGAGCUCUGGGUGGGUAGGAAAUAAAUUGCUAAGUAAUAAAAAAUGCAUGGAUUCAUCAAUUUUAAAUAUGUAUUUACAAUUUCCUUUUUUUCUGUUUUGGGGUAAAAGCGUGCAAUCAGCACUGCACUGGAUCCAUAUAUAUCCAUGCGUCCUCUGGGGCAGAAUCUGAGUUCUCCACUGCCUUUGAAACAAAGUGAUUCAUCGUCAUAAUUAAAGGAAAUAGGAAAAAUGAAUCACUUCUAAAGCACCAUCAUACGCGUAAGCAAAUGUUAGGUGUGGGAAAAAAAAGGUGAUCGCAGACGCGAUACGUGACGGAUUUCUCUCAGGCCGGAAAUUUAACUUCAUGUCAGCCUCAGUCGUCAGGGAAACAGGAAGAGGAGAAGAAUGCCCGUCAAUAUGAUUGGGCGUGACACGGACAAGGUCCCUCUGAUUGGAAGUUUUACAGCCGACAGUGAUUGAUGAAUCAUCAGUGGCGGCCUCAUCGUGGGCUGUGCCCUUGGCCGCCGCGGCCGUUGAUUAAACGCCAGCCGGCUCCAGAUGUGUGAGUCCGCCCCGGAGGCUGCGCCGUGUCCAGGUGGAGGACAACGUCUUGGGCUCUGACUGGGAGUCCGAGCAGAUGCAAUAACGCCGUCGUAGCGUCCGUCACGGAGAUGAAGACGAACCACGAGGCCUCAGUAUUAAGGAGACGAUGCCCCAGCAGCCAUCUGUAAUGUUUGAGUUGAUUGAAUUACCGAUUCUAAUUGUAUAUUUUGUUAUGUUUUGUUAACUAGGCUAUAAACUAUAACUGAUAGCUGAAGCUUGUUGCAUUCUUUUUAUAGCCAAUUUUCUGCUGUUCAAUAAACGUCCUGUGAUUGUGAAUAUAAUGAUUUUUGUUUCCCCACAGAACCAAGAUGUAAUUGAGUCAUUGAAAUAUAAUCUAAUAUUUGCAAACAAAACCUUUGAAGAAACACCAGAAUUAUUGUAUGACACACACACACACACACACACACACACACACACACACACACACACACACACACACACACACACACACACACACACACACACACACACACACACCCACCCACACACACACAAACACACACACACAGACACACACAGACCCUGAGGGCAGGUUGUAAUACAGACCAUGUCAAAAGGAGGAUUUCAUUAUUUUUGGGUAGGAGGACUUUAUUAUCUAAGCUACCUCGGAGACAUACGUUCUAGUCAGACAACUUGUACGCUUGUAGCAGUGGGACCAAAUCGGGUUUAGCAUUUAAAAGACUUGGGGCCAUUCACAUCAGGGGGCAUCGUUAAUGCCACGCUACAUCUCACCACUGCGCUCCGCUGCGUACGCCAGACGCAUCACCAGAACCGCUGGUCGUCACCAAAUCCUCAAGUUUAUCUUCAAUAUCAAAUGUGCUGAUGGGCCGCGGAUGGAUCUGCUAAUCCACGGUGAUGUGAUUGGUGGAGAACCUCAAUACGGUGACCUACUUCCUGGUCAGAAAACAG
ensembl:lncRNA